UGCAAAACUAAUUAUAAAAAAACUCAAGUUAUGGACCCACUGACGUUCUGAGUCACCACAGACAAAAUCAGAACAUUCUUAUUUCUUCUUAUUCACCUAAAGUCGUGCUUUCUCUCGACACAGUCUAAAGUUUGGUAGAAGUGCAGGAGUGUGGGCUGAUCCUGGAUCAGCUCUGUUCAGAAGCCUGACAAUGCUUUAAUAUAAACCAGCUCCACAGAUCUGGGCAGUUUGACAGCUUGUUAUCGGGUGACCUUUGACCCCCUGAAGCCCAAACAGGGCUUCAUACCGCUUGUUAUCCUCGACUGAAGCUUUGGCUUCAUCUUCACCCAGCAGCUCUGUAUUUAAUCAUCCAACAACAAGUUGUCUUUUGGAUAUACAACAAAAAGAAAAUACUUCAAGUCUUCGAGUUGGGGUUUCCUGGGAGAACGUCAAAUGACCUAUAUAACAUUUAUUCCUUUAUAAUCCUGAAUUAAGAGAUGAAUCAGUCAAAUCUAUACUUUUAAACUAUAAAUUAACUUGAAUGGGCAAAGAGAAGACAACCUUAUUAUCUCACUUACACAAUGAACGUUUAAUCUGUAAUUUAAUCAUGCAUGCCAAUUAAAGCCCAUUUGUAAAUAAUAAACACAAGAAUUCAAUACGUAACCUCCUCGGCUGAAGCAGCCGGCAGGAUUAUUCCACGUUAACUGGUUAAGUGGAUUUCAGGGUGUUUCCGCUCCACUGAAAAUAAAAAGAAAUUAAAGCGACACAACUAUGUAACAGGAUAGAUUAAAGAUGUGUUAUCGUGCUGAGUCUGUAGAAAUGGCUCAGCAGGGCCUGCGUGACCUCUGCCGGUAAUCUGGGAUCGCUCUAAUUCAGGACAGAUUAACCGGCUUCAUCUGCAACCUCCUCGGCCGACACUCUGCACCUUCGUCACGUGCACACGCUUCCAGAGCGACCACACCUCAAUAACACAGAGUCACUACAGUGCACGGCCGGGAGUGUGUGAUUAUUUAAUUCACUUUGAAGGAGGAACGGCUGGAUGAAGUGGGAGAAAUGAGGCCAGCUGUUGCUCAGUGCAUAAUCCCAGUAAAACAUAAUCCCUGCCAUAUACCUACAAGGAUCCCGACUGGAUGAGCGGCCUGCACUGGAUUGGACUGGGAUGGAAAUAGAGCACAGAGACACAGCGAGUCCCAGUGGCUGCCUCACUGCAAAGAGGCCAUCCACAGUGCGCUGGCAUCGGAAAGUCAAUUAUAAGGGAACAUUAGCUGCUGCCUGGCCGGGACUGUGCAGAUCUAAACUGGGAGGCUUUGAUAUCGUUCCAGUCGCCACAUUUCCCAUCGUGCUUUCAUGCGUUUGUCUGAGACGCAGCGUGACGGACGGAGGUUGGAACCAGCACAAUGAUGUUUGCUCAGUGGCGGCGGCGGCGGCCAGUGGAGGCGCAGUGGGCUCCGAACUGGCACCAGAACCAAAGACAAACUGGAACAAUGGGUUGUGUUGGUACAUCAGGAGCUGCAGCUUUCUAAUCUCCUGUGAAAAGGUGGGAUUGAAGUGAUGGAGACGAGGCCUCGUGAUCCAUCAGUGAUGUGGAGGGCCCCUUUGCCUGAUUAGGUUUGAAUGUCUCAAUAAGAGCUUCUGCAGAUCUGUGCUGGCUCUGGUUCACGACUGCAUUCAUAAAGAUUGAGUCUGAAUGUUGACCAUCUUCUUCGUGGAGGCCACGUGACCCACGAUGCCGAUGUCCAGGGGGUAAACGAUCUCACUGUCCGGCUGCACCAGACAGUCCUCGAACACCGAAUCUUUAUUGACGUUAAAUAACCUGGAA